GGAUCUAGGGCUUGGAACUUCCCAUUACGAUUUCUCCUUCAAUUCUCAACAAAAUCAGGAAAUUAGAAGGUGAUCUUGGAAGUCUAAUUCAGAUCUCGUGGUGUGACUGUAUCGAGAAUUUCGGGUUAGAAACUCUGCCCAAUGAAGCUCUCGGGUGGUGCAUCUGUAGCUCGUAGAGGCGUUGUAAUUCUGUGUUUUUGUUCAGUGGGUAUUUCGAUCCAGUAAUAAGCUCAUUGCCAUCAAAACCCCUUGACAUGGAGUUAACUAAAACAAGCUAUGUAUUAACAAGAGGGGUGUGUGUGUAUUAAUGACUUUAAGUACUUAGUAUCAUAUUGAAGGUGAGUUUUCCAAAUCCUUAAAAACAAACCAAUAACAUUAACUUUGUGUUUGCCGCUAGCGCGAAACAUUCAUGUUUUCUAUGUGUUUUGGUAUGAGACUUUGGGUUUGGGAAAGGCUUGCCAAAGCGUGGAGAUAA
rnacentral:lncRNA from 1 species